GUGAAUCAUCGAAUCUUUGAACGCAUAUUGCGCCCUUUGGUAUUCCGAAGGGCAUGCCUGUUCGAGCGUCAUUAUCAACUAUCAAGCCUAGCUUGUUGUUGGACUUUGCGACUGAAAUAUGUGGCAGGUCCGAAAGAUAAUGCCGGUGUCGUGUUUGACCCUAGAUGCAACGAGCUUUUAAUAGCACGCAUUGAAGUGGUUGGCCGACCCAGUCUUAACCAUUAUUUUCUAAGGUUGACCUCGGAUCAGGUAAGAAUACCCGCUGAACUUAAGCAUAUCAAUAAGCGGAGGA
rnacentral:misc_RNA from 1 species